rnacentral:hammerhead_ribozyme from 1 species
AUCUGGCUGAUGAGUCCCCAAUAGGACGAAACGUGUGUCAUAAUGGAU